rnacentral:lncRNA from 1 species
GGGCAAAAUCGUAAUUUCACUAAAAUCCUGAUUUGAUAGUACCAUUUGAUAGAACAAAUGAUUUGAAAUCUAUUGGUGAAAAUUUCAUUGUGUUUGGACUUAUAUUUUUGAAGUUAUGAAGGUUUGAAGUGCAUGAGUCGACUCAUGAGUCAACUCAUGGCACUGUGAGCUGAUUGGCACGCAAAAAUUCUCCUUGGCACGCUAGUUUUCUAGCUUGGCACGACCUGUGAAUCGACUCAUGAGUCGACCCACAAGGCAUGAGUCGACUCAUGAGUCGACCCCUGCUAAUUUGAGCCAAGAAAUUCCAGAAAAGUAUUCUCUGGUUUUUGCAACAGAGGUCGACUCAUGAGUCGACCCCUGAAGCAUGAGUCGACUCAUGAGUCGACCCCUGCGACGGGAAAUGUCAGCAA